GAUGAACGCUGGCGGCGUGCCUAAUGCAUGCGAGUCGAGCGAACAGACGAGGAGCUUGCUCCUCUGACGUUAGCGGCGGACGGGUGAGUAACACGUGGAUAACCUACCUAUAAGACUGGGAUAACUUCGGGAAACCGGAGCUAAUACCGGAUAAUAUAUUGAACCGCAUGGUUCAAUAGUGAAAGACGGUUUUGCUGUCACUUAUAGAUGGAUCCGCGCCGCAUUAGCUAGUUGGUAAGGUAACGGCUUACCAAGGCAACGAUGCGUAGCCGACCUGAGAGGGUGAUCGGCCACACUGGAACUGAGACACGGUCAGACUCCUACGGGAGGCAGCAGUAGGGAAUCUUCCGCAAUGGGCGAAAGCCUGACGGAGCAACGCCGCGUGAGUGAUGAAGGUCUUCGGAUCGUAAAACUCUGUUAUUAGGGAAGAACAAAUGUGUAAGUAACUAUGCACGUCUUGACGGUACCUAAUCAGAAAGCCACGGCUAACUACGUG
rnacentral:rRNA from 1 species